rnacentral:sRNA from 6 species
GGAAGGAUGAGAAGCUUCGACCAAGGUUCGAUUCGAGCGCAGCGAGAAAGCGUUGCCGCAGGCAACGACCCGAAGGGCGAAGCGCGCAGCGCUGAGUCAUCCUUCCCCCACCACCA